UUUUUAAUUGCAUCGAAAAAUGCUUUUGCCCUAAUGUGUUUUGGUUAAUGCCUUCCACUGCAUUUGUAAAGAGGAUGUAAACAUAAGCCCCGAUAAUGGAGCAGUCUUUAAAAUAGGUGUCUAUUCUUGGCUUGAAGAACUUCAGAAGCAUGCUUCUUUAUUAAAAAAAGACUGCAUGCUUUAUGCUUUGAAGAAAACGACUGCAGAUUUACCAAACUCAUGACAAUCAGAAGCCAGGCAUUUGCACAGAGUCAAGACUGAUUGGGAAGAUACGCAUUCCAAGAAUUACCUUAAGAUUUGUUUCACCAUUAAAGCGACAUUCCCAGCUGUGCUCCAAUCAACUGGAUAAAAGCAGAGAACCCAUCAGAAGUUGUUCCUGGUUGACUAUCACCUUUCAAAAGAAAUGUGCUUUCCUAAGGACAUUUUGAGGAAAUGCUUGAGCAAUCACAAAGAUGCCACUCCACUACGUGAAGCUUCAUGGACAUGAGCAAAAGACAUAUGCCUGUAGCAACCUUCCCUGGGUGGAUGGACAAAGUCCUGGGCCCCAGAAACACCAUCCCUGACCAACACUGAGGAAAGUGCUGGGCCUUUAUGGGUGUGUCAAAUUGUGCCUGUUUUGUUAAAGUGAUCCUCUUUCCC